UAUUAUAAAAAGGGUAUUUUGGAUAUCAAAAUUAGUCAAAGUUGUAUUUGGAUAAUUUCCAUGUAUUUCUCUAAUUGAUGCCCUACUAUUUCUACCCCAAUUCAACAAUUAUCUUAGGGUAAUCAUAUCGAUACAAAUAUUUUUCUUUCCUUUACUCGUUGAGGGUACCCAAUGUAUUCGAUUCUAGAAAAGAAUUGAAAUAGAAACUAUGGAGAAUCACCUCGUAUCAAGCAAAGCCGUAGAUUACCUUUUUUUAUCACGAUGCUCAUACCAGUAUCUUUUAUGCAGGUUCUAAAUCUCGUGGCUCAAUCUUUUCCUCAAUAUGUAUACAUNNNNNN
rnacentral:lncRNA from 1 species